rnacentral:rRNA from 1 species
CCUACGGGUGGCAGCAGUGGGGAAUAUUGCGCAAUGGGCGAAAGCCUGACGCAGCGACGCCGCGUGAGGGAUGAAGGUCUUCGGAUCGUAAACCUCUGUCAGCAGGGAAGAACGGUCACUGUGCUAAUCAGCAGUGAAUUGACGGUACCUGCAAAGGAAGCACCGGCUAACUCCGUGCCAGCAGCCGCGGUAAUACGGAGGGUGCGAGCGUUAAUCGGAAUUACUGGGCGUAAAGCGCUCGUAGGCGGGAUGUCAAGUCAAGGGGGAAAUCCCCGCGCUCAACGUGGGAACUGCCUUUGAAACGGGCAAACUGGAGUGGGUGAGAGGAUAGUGGAAUUCCAGGUGUAGGAGUGAAAUCCGUAGAUAUCUGGCGGAACAUCAGUGGCGAAGGCGACUAUCUGGCACAUAACUGACGCUGAGGAGCGAAAGCGUGGGUAGCAAACAGGAUUAGAUACCCUGGUAGUC